GACGAACGCUGGCGGCGUGCUUAACACAUGCAAGUCGAACGAGUGGCGAACGGGUGAGUAACACGUGGGUGACCUGCCCUGCACUUCGGGAUAAUCCUGGGAAACUGGGUCUAAUACCGGAUAGUGUGGGAUGGUCCCGCGGCCUAUCAGCUUGUUGGUGUGGUAAUGGCUACCAAGGCGCGACGGGUUGCCGGCCUGAGAGGGUGGACAGCCACAUUGGGACUGAGACACGGCCCAGACUCCUACGGGAGGCAGCAGUGGGGAAUCUUGGACAAUGGGCGGAAGCCUGAUGCAGCGACGCCGCGUGUAUGAAGAAGGCCUUAGGGUUGUAAAGUACUUUCAGCGGGGAGGCGUUACCCGCAGAAGAAGCACCGGCUAACUCCGUGCCAGCAGCCGCGGUAAUUC
rnacentral:rRNA from 1 species